UAAUUACAGGAUAGAACAACUGAUAGAUGCCUGCAGGGCUAAUGAUAUAACUGAUGUGGUUGUCGUACAGGAGCAUAGGGGUGUUCCUGGCAUCAUGUUUACAAAUUUGAAGACAGAGAGUUAAUUUUAAAAGAAGUUGGCCCUAGGUUUGAAAUGAAAGUCUAUAAGAUUGUCCGAGGA
rnacentral:sRNA from 1 species